rnacentral:misc_RNA from 1 species
GAUGAAGAACGUAGCGAAAUGCGAUAAGUAAUGUGAAUUGCAGAAUUCCGUGAAUCAUCGAAUCUUUGAACGCACAUUGCGCCCCCUGGCAUUCCGGGGGGCAUGCCUGUCCGAGCGUCAUUUCUGCCCUCAAGCACGGCUUGUGUGUUGGGUGUGGUCCCCCCGGGGACCUGCCCGAAAGGCAGCGGCGACGUCCGUCUGGUCCUCGAGCGUAUGGGGCUCUGUCACUCGCUCGGGAAGGACCUGCGGGGGUUGGUCACCACUAUAUUUUACCACGGUUGACCUCGGAUCAGGUAGGAGUUACCCUCUGAACUUAAGCAUAUCAAUAAGCGGAGGA